rnacentral:rRNA from 1 species
UACGGAGAGUGCAACCGUUGUUCGGAUUCACUGGGCGUAAAGCGCACGUAGGCGGAUCUUUAAGUCAGGGGUGAAAUCCUGGAGCUCAACUCCAGAACUGCCUUUGAUACUGAGGAUCUUGAGUCCGGGAGAGGUGAGUGGAACUGCGAGUGUAGAGGUGAAAUUCGUAGUUAUUCGCAAGAACACCAGUGGCGAAGGCGGCUCACUGGCCCGGUACUGACGCUGAGGCGCGAAAGCGUGGGGAGCGAACAGG